rnacentral:rRNA from 1 species
AAUAGAUACCCCGGUAGUCCACGCCGUAAACGGUGGGCACUAGGUGUGGGCGACAUUCCACGUCGUCCGUGCCGCAGCUAACGCAUUAAGUGCCCCGCCUGGGGAGUACGGCCGCAAGGCUAAAACUCAAGGGAAUUGACGGGGGCCCGCACAAGCGGCGGAGCAUGUGGCUUAAUUCGACGCAACGCGAAGAACCUUACCAAGGCUUGACAUACACCGGAAACGUCCAGAGAUGGGCGCCCCCUUGUGGUCGGUGUACAGGUGGUGCAUGGCUGUCGUCAGCUCGUGUCGUGAGAUGUUGGGUUAAGUCCCGCAACGAGCGCAACCCUUGUCCCGUGUUGCCAGCAGGCCCUUGUGGUGCUGGGGACUCACGGGAGACCGCCGGGGUCAACUCGGAGGAAGGUGGGGACGACGUCAAGUCAUCAUGCCCCUUAUGUCUUGGGCUGCACACGUGCUACAAUGGCCGGUACAAUGAGCUGCGAUACCGCGAGGUGGAGCGAAUCUCAAAAAGCCGGUCUCAGUUCGGAUUGGGGU